rnacentral:rRNA from 1 species
UACGUAGGCAGCGAGCGUUGUUCGGAAUUAUUGGGCGUAAAGAGUGUGUAGGCGGUUGCUCCAAGUCUGUUGUGAAAUCUCCCGGCUUGAACUGGGAGGGUGCGGCGGAAACUGGAAUGCUAGAGGGUGGGAGAGGUAAGCGGAAUCCUGGUGUAGCGGUGAAAUGCGCAGAUAUCAGGAGGAACACCGGUGGCGAAGGCGGAUCUCUGGGCCGAUACUGACGCUGGAGGAGCGAAAGCGUGGGGAGCGAACAGG